rnacentral:rRNA from 1 species
UACGUAGGCAGCAAGCGUUGUUCGGAAUUAUUGGGCGUAAAGCGCGCGCAGGCGGCCUUUUAAGUCUGAUGUGAAAGCCCACGGCUCAACCGUGGAAGGUCAUUGGAAACUGAAAGGCUUGAGUACAGAAGAGGAAAGCGGAAUUCCACGUGUAGCGGUGAAAUGCGUGGAGAUGUGGAGGAACACCAGUGGCGAAGGCGGCUUUCUGGUCUGUAACUGACGCUGAGGCGCGAAAGCGUGGGGAGCAAACAGG